AGGAGUUGCCCCUAGUACGAGAGGACCGGGGUGAACGAACCACUGGUGGACCUGUUGUGGCGCCAGCCGCAGUGCAGGGUAGCUAAGUUCGGACAGGAUAACCGCUGAAGGCAUCUAAGCGGGAAGCCCCCCUCAAAACAAGGUAUCCCUGAGGGCCGUGGUAGACCACCACGUCGAUAGGCCGGAGAUGUAAGCGCAGCAAUGCGUUCAGUUGACCGGUACUAAUCGCCCGAUAGGCUUGAUUUGAUCCAG
rnacentral:rRNA from 1 species